rnacentral:tRNA from 1 species
UCGCGUGUCGAUAAGGACUCCCUCCGGUUUCCUAAACCGCAGGUCGGAGGUUCGAAUCCUCUCGGGCGCG